AAUCCCUCAAUUGCAAAACAGAUAUUGCUCCGCCUCUAGUGCGACCAUCAGCACCGCUGCCGCACUGCACCAAUACUACGCCCCACCUGCCAUCACCACGCAGCAACCAGACCCGCCAGCAGCCAGCACUGUCACACCGCCACCAGCACCGCCCAGAUCCGCCCCCUGCAACGAGAUCCAACAGCACCGCCACACCAUUUACACAACUGAACACGUCAUCACACAUAAACAAAAGAACCCCAUAUGCAAGAACUAAGACUCUAUAAUUCAAGAGAACAAAAGGUGGAUAAGAUGCAGAAUGAGUCCUCGAUUUAAAUUAUUCAGUUCAACACAUUAAAACUAGUAAUCGAAUUUCAAUAUGUGAAAGUUUAAAUUUUAUAAUAUAUAUAAAGAGGAAUUCGUUGUUGUGUCUGGUGGGUGCUAACUGCUAGGUAUGGUUGCAGGGAGAGGCAAAUGUGGGCAGUGCUGAUUGUUGGCGGGUCUAGUUGUUGGGCGGUCAUAGCAGGUUGGCCACAGCAUUGCUGACAGCUGCAACCAUGGCGGAUUGGCGGGGCAAUAUCUGGUUUGGGGUUGAGUGAUUUUUGUUGUUUUGAGAUAACUAGCUUAGUGGGGAAGAGGAUGAGGGGUGGAUCCUUUUUGUAAAAUGGAAAUUAUGAAAAUAUCCGUAUUGCUAAUUCUAUUGCA
rnacentral:lncRNA from 1 species